CCCUUAGAUGUCCUGGGCCGCACGCGCGCUACACUGAUGCAUUCAACGAGUUUUACCUUGGCCGAGAGGCCUGGGCAAUCUUUUAAACCUGCAUCGUGAUAGGGAUAGAUUAUUGCAAUUAUUAAUCUUGAACGAGGAAUUCCUAGUAAACGCAGAUCAUCAAUCUGCAUUGAUUACGUCCCUGCCCUUUGUACACACCGCCCGUCGCACCUACCGAUUGAGUGGUCCGGUGAGGCUUUGGGAUCUAAGCGAAAAGAGCGUUUCGCUCCUUUUGCUAGGAGAACUCAGUCGAACCUUAUCAUUUAGAGGAAGGAGAAGUCGUAACA
rnacentral:rRNA from 1 species